rnacentral:rRNA from 1 species
UGAGGAAUAUUGGUCAAUGGACGAGAGUCUGAACCAGCCAAGUAGCAUGAAGGAUGAAGGUCCUACGGAUUGUAAACUUCUUUUAUAAGGGAAUAAACCCUCCCACGUGUGGGAGCUUGUAUGUACCUUAUGAAUAAGCAUCGGCUAACUCCGUGCCAGCAGCCGCGGUAAUACGGAGGAUGCGAGCGUUAUCCGGAUUUAUUGGGUUUAAAGGGAGCGCAGACGGGUCGUUAAGUCAGCUGUGAAAGUUUGGGGCUCAACCUUAAAAUUGCAGUUGAUACUGGCGUCCUUGAGUGCGGUUGAGGUGUGCGGAAUUCGUGGUGUAGCGGUGAAAUGCUUAGAUAUCACGAAGAACUCCGAUUGCGAAGGCAGCACACUAAUCCGUAACUGACGUUCAUGCUCGAAAGUGUGGGUAUCAAACAGGAUUAGAUACCCUGGUAGUCCACACGGUAAACGAUGGAUACUCGCUGUUGGCGAUAUACUGUCAGCGGCUUAGCGAAAGCGUUAAGUAUCCCACCUGGGGAGUACGCCGGCAACGGUGAAACUCAAAGGAAUUGACGGGGGCCCGCACAAGCGGAGGAACAUGUGGUUUAAUUCGAUGAUACGCGAGGAACCUUACCCGGGCUUAAAUUGCAAAGGAAUAAUCUGGAAACAGGUUAGUCUUCGGACCUUUGUGAAGGUGCUGCAUGGUUGUCGUCAGCUCGUGCCGUGAGGUGUCGGCUUAAGUGCCAUAACGAGCGCAACCCUCGCCGCCAGUUACUAACAGUUAAAGCUGAGGACUCUGGCGGGACUGCCAUCGUAAGAUGUGAGGAAGGUGGGGAUGACGUCAAAUCAGCACGGCCCUUACGUCCGGGGCUACACACGUGUUACAAUGGGCGGUACAGAAGGCAGCUACCUGGCGACAGGAUGCCAAUCCCUAAAGCCGCUCUCAGUUCGGACUGGAGUCUGCAACCCGACUCCACGAAGCUGGAUUCGCUAGUAAUCGCGCAUCAGCCACGGCGCGGUGAAUACGUUCCC